rnacentral:sRNA from 1 species
UCAGUACCGAAGUGGCGCCAGCGGGCCCCGGU